rnacentral:lncRNA from 1 species
AAAAAUUGUUGACUUUAAGAAUAAUUAUUAAUCAAAAAGUACUGAAAAAUACAACUUUGUAAGAGACUUGUUCUACACUUUCUGAAAUUGUAAAACAAUUGGUGGAGCAAUCAAUUCUUAAUAUUUGCAUUGUUAUUUUAUACUUUAAUGACGCCAUAGCUGUUACAAUAUAAAUACAUGAUUUUGCAUCAAAAUAAAGAUAUGUUAAUGGCAGGCCUGUAUAUCUUCAGCAGUAAUAAAAUCAAAUCAAGUU